rnacentral:rRNA from 1 species
UCAAGCGAACAAGGGCGCAGGGCGAAUGCCUUGGCACUGGGAGCCGAUGAAAGACGUGAUAAGCUGCGAUAAGCUUCGGGGAGCUGCAAAUAAGCAUUGAUCCGGAGAUUUCUGAAUGAGGAAACUCACCUGGGUUCAUACUCAGGUACGUUAUACUGAACUUAAAAAUAGGUAUAUCGAGGGAACCGCCUGAACUGAAACAUCUAAGUAGGGCGAGGAAGAGACAUCAAACGAGAUUCCGUAAGUAGUGGCGAGCGAACGCGGAAGAGGGCAAACCGGAAGUAGAAAUACUUCCGGGGUACGGACCGCAUUUAGGACUUGAGUUGUUAACCGAACGGCAUGGGAAGGCCGGUCAGAGAGUGUGAGAACCACGUAGGUGAAAACGACAAGAGCUGAGCGAGUUCCAGAGUACGGCCAGACACGUGAAACCUGGUCGGAAUACGGGGGGACCACCCUCCAACCCUAAAUACUACCCAGUGACCGAUAGCGUAUAGUACUGUGAAGGAAAGGUGAAAAGCACCCCGGGAGGGGAGUGAAAAAGAACCUGAAACCCUGUGCCUACAAGCACCUAGAGCACGUCAAUGUGUGAUAGGGUACUUUUUGUAGAACGGUCCGGCGAGCGAUUGUAUGCAGCAAGGUUAAGGACUUAAGGUCUGGAGCCGAAGCGAAAGCGAGUUUGAAAAGGGCGUUAAGUUGCAUACAAUGGGCCCGAAACCGGGUGACCUACCCAUGGUCAGGUUGAAGUGGAAGUAAAAUUCCAUGGAGGACCGAACCGACCUCCGUUGAAAAGGCGGCGGAUGAACUGUGGGUAGCGGAGAAAUUCCAAUCGAACCCGGAGAUAGCUGGUUCUCCCCGAAAUAGUUUUAGGACUAGCCUCAAGUUAGAUACCUGGAGGUAAAGCACUGAAUAGCCUAGCGGCCGAGAGGUUAGCGAAGCUUAUCAAACUCAGAAUGCCAGAGUAUUGAUGCUUGGGAGUCAGACAGUGUCAGAUAAAUGUCAUUGUCAAAAGGGAAACAGCCCAGAUCUACAGCUAAGGUCCCAAAGUCAGGUUAAGUGGAAAACGAUGUGAAGAUACGUAGACAACCAGGAUGUUGGCUCAGAAGCAGCCACACAUUCAAAGAGUGCGUAAUAGCUCACUGGUCGAGCGUCUUUGCGCGGAGAAUUUAACGGGGCUAAACCUGACACCGAAGCUUAGGCAAUACAGCAAUGUAUUGGGUAGGGGAGCGUUGUAUACGCGGUGAAACAGUAGCGCAAGCGGCUGUGGAGUGUAUAGAAGUGAGAAUGCCGGAAUGAGUAGCGCGAAUGCAGUGAGAAUCUGCAUGGCCGAAAGCCUCAGGUUUCUGGAGGAAGGUUCGUCCGCUCCAGGUUAGUCGGGAGCUAAGGUGAGGCCUAACGGCGUAGCCGAUGCACAGACGGUAGAGAUUCCGUCACCACCAAAAGAGUUAAACACAGGGACACAUUUGAAGUCUCGGAGCCGGGUGUUGGUUCCGGUAGCGAUCGAGGGAAAUUAGUACCGAAGUCCGGGAUGGAAGAUGGCGAGAAAAGCUGUGUGUAUUUCUGCGGUGCCCGUACCGCAAACCGACACAGGUAGGUAGGAAGAAGAUUCUAAGGCCAACGGGAGAAGGGUUGUUAAGGAACUCGGCAAAUUGACCCCGUAACUUCGGGAGAAGGGGUGCUCCAGAGAUGGAGCCGCAGAGAAUCGGCCCAAGCAACUGUUUACCAAAAACACAGGUUUGUGCUAAAUCGAAAGAUGACGUAUACGAGCUGACGCCUGCCCGGUGCUGGAAGGUUAAGAGGAGAUGUGCAAGCAUUGAAUCGAAGCCCCAGUGAACGGCGGCCGUAACUAUAACGGUCCUAAGGUAGCGAAAUUCCUUGUCAGGUAAGUUCUGACCCGCAUGAAAGGCGUAAUGAUUUGGGCACUGUCUCAACAGCCCGCCCGGCGAAAUUGUAGUACCGGUGAAGAUGCCGGUUACCCGCGACAAGACGGAAAGACCCCAUGGAGCUUUACUGUAGCCUAAUAUUGGGUUUCGAUGUUGCAUGCACAGGAUAGAUGGGACACUGGGAAGCAAGAGCUUUGGCUUUUGUGGAGUGGCCGUUGGGAUACCAUCCUUGCGAUAUUGGAAUUCUAACCUGCGCCUUUGAAUCAAGGCGGGGGACAUUGUUAGGUGGGCAGUUUGACUGGGGCGGUCGCCUCCUAAAGAGUAACGGAGGCGUUCAAAGGUUCGCUCAGCUUGAACGGAAAUCAAGCAAAAGAGUGCAAACGCAGAAGCGAGCCUAACUGCGAGACUGACGGGUCGAGCAGUAACGAAAGUUGGAGUUAGUGAUCCGGUGGUAUGUGAGUGGAAAUGCCAUCGCUCAACGGAUAAAAGUUACCCUGGGGAUAACAGGCUGAUCUCCCCCAAGAGUCCACAUCGACGGGGAGGUUUGGCACCUCGAUGUCGGCUCAUCGCAUCCUGGGGCUGUAUUCGGUCCCAAGGGUUUGGCUGUUCGCCAAUUAAAGCGGUACGCGAGCUGGGUUCAGAACGUCGUGAGACAGUUCGGUCCCUAUCUGUCGUGGGCGCAGGAUAUUUGAUGGGAGCUGUUCCUAGUACGAGAGGACCGGAGCGGACGUACCUCUGGCGCACCAGUUGUUCUGCCAAGGGCAUAGCUGGGCAACUAUGUACGGAUCGGAUAAACGCUGAAAGCAUCUAAGCGUGAAGCCGACCCAAAGAUAAGAUAUCCCAUUGUUUCAAACAAGUAAGACCCCUUGAAGACUACAAGGUUGAUAGGCACGAUGUGUAAGUGGAGUGAUCCAUUCAGCAAGCGUGUACUAAUAGGUCGAGGGCUUGACCAC